rnacentral:lncRNA from 1 species
UUGUGAAACUGACUUGGAAGGUACUCUAUUAAGCAAGUAAGCUGCUGUAUAUAGAGCGUAUCCCCAGAAUGUUAUUGGUAGAUCAGCGGAACUCAUCGUAGAACAAACCAUGUUCAUCAAGGUUCUAUUUCUCUUUUCAGAAACUCCAUGAAGUUGUGGAGUUCCUGGUGGAGUCCACUGUGAUAUUAUUCCACACUCUUUGAGAUAAUCUAGGAACUCAUUACUCAGAUAUUCACCCCCUCGAUCCGAUCUUAGGAUCUUUAUCUGUUUCCCAGUUUGCUUCUCAACUUUAUUCUUGAAUUCUUUGAACCUUUCAAAGGAUUCUGACUUGUACUUCAUAAGAUACACAUAGCCAAACCGAGAGUGAUCGUCGGUGAAUGUGAUAUAGUAGGAGAAGCCUCCUCUCGACGUGGUAGACAUAGGUCCACAUACGUCAGUGUGGAUUAACCCUAGAAUUUCAGUGGCACGCUCUCCUUUUCCAGUAAAUGGAGAUUUGGUCAUCUUCCCUUUCAAGCAACAUUCAGAAGUACCCAUCCGGUCAUUACCUAAUGGGCGGAAAUAUCCGUCUUUCGACAUCUUGCGAUUCUUAUCAAGGUUCACAUGUCCAGGUUUAAGAUGCCACAUCUUUUCUUGGUUAACUUCUUCUCUAGCCCUUUUGGGUUUUGAGGUAUUCCCGCUUUCAAUACAGUGCAUCCCACUAUUCGUCUCUAGGUAAAAAAGACCCUCUAUCAUAUUACCAUGAGAGAUAAUACGACCGUUCAAGUAUAAAGUGCAACUCAUUUUGUCAAACAAUACUGAGUGCCCAUCUCGUAAAAGCUUAGAGAUAGAAAUCAAAUUCUUUAUACAUGAAGGAAAAUAUAAACAAUUUUUAAGUUCCAGGAUUUCCCCAGAGGGUAGUUUAAGCAUGUAGGUGCCUAUUGCUUUUGCAGAGAUUUUAGUGCCGUUCCCAACUCGCACAACCAUCUCCCCAUUGCGCAGUGACUUGCUCCCCGCUAGUCCCUGCAUCGUAUUACAGAUAUGUUGGCUAGUGCCUAAAUUAAAUAUCCAGGAACUGGAGCUCACUGUAAAAGCACUCUCUAUGACGGAAAUAGUCUCUUCAAAAGUUCGUGUCAUAAGGCUCGCAAUGCGCACCCUGUAUUUCUUCUUCCAACGUUCAUCCUUUCCACAAUGAAUGCAUGUUCCUUUGGAUUUCUUUGCCUUCUUCUUAUGCAACCUUUUCCUUGUGAUUGCAUCCUCACUCCCACUGUCCUUUUUGAAACCUUUUUCAAAUUUACAGCACAUGUCAAUCAUCUCGUUUAAAGUAUGAUCGAAUCUAUUCACUUUAUAGUUUACAAUAAACUUAGUGAAAUCAUCCGAGAGAGAUGCAAGGAAAAAGUCUUGGGCCAUUUUCCCAUCGAUGGAAGUUCCUAAACUUUGAAGAUCUUGAAAGAUCCUUUCCAUCUUUUGUCCAUGUUUAUGGACCGAUGUCCCCUUUGCCAUUUUGGCAUUCAUUAGACUACAAACAUUUGAGAAUCGUACAUUACUAGUCUCAUUGUCAUGCAUCUUAUGCAAACUUUCAACCAUGGCACAAGAAGUGUCCAUGUGCUUAUGUAGCUUCAUAAGCGCCUCACUAAGUGAAGUGAGGAUUAAGCAUUUGGCUUGUAAGUCAUCCUCAUAGUGUCUAAAAUAAUUUUGACACUCCUCUUUUGAAGCUAGUUUCGUAGGAGGUACAUGAGGUGGGGAUUGCUUAAGCAUAUACAAUAUGUCUUUCACCUUUGAGACAUUCUCAAUGUGGCGAUACAAGCAAGGAAACGUUGGCCCUUAAGGCCCCUUUUGUCAAGUAUAAUGGUGGGUAUUAUUUUAGGCAUGUCGUUAACUACAUAACAUAACAGAAAUCGUAUUAGAUUGUUUGUUUUAAAACUACUUGAUUGGGUCUUAAAUCAAAUAAUAUCACCCACUAUUUUGGGCAAAUUCCACAUCCCUCAAUGGAAUUCGAGAGUUAUAGGCUCACCAUUACCAAGCCCACCUCACGAUGAUACGAUAUUGGUUAACAAAAAUAAUGAUGAGAGAAUAACGCUUUAUUCAUUUACAACUUUUGUAAUUUCCCAUCUUGUUUGGCCUCUAGAGAAUGAUUCCUCACGAUGAUACGAUAUCGGCACCAUUGCACUUAGUUAAGUCAUUCCCACCAUGCUUAGUUCGUGAAGGGGUUCAAGAAUAGCCUCACAAUGAUAUGAUAUCGGCCAUCCUCGUUGCCUACACUCACCUCAUCAUAUGUUUAUGGACUCCUCUUGGAUGUAAGCACAUACUUUGAACUUCCCCAUGAUAGGGUGAAGCCGGUGUAGGAGUCACAAACGAUUGGAGCCCACCACGGUGGUAGGCCUACGAAGAGAUGUUCAAAACAUCUCUCGCUUAUCAACUUAAUAUUCGUUUUGUUGAGGGAGUAGUGUUGGGCUACAUCAAAAUUAUUUUAAUCUUAUUAAAAGAACUUGGGCCUAUCACAACCAUUGGUCCAAGUUAAUAUGAAUUAGUAGUUUAUAAUACUCCCACUAUUUCGAUGAAACAAGCGAGACUAUAUGGAACUACUAACGAAUGCUUUGCAUCCUCAUAUGGACUAUAUAGUCAUAUUAGGUUUUAGGAUGAUUAUGAACCGUUUGAUUUGAUCCAACACGAGCCUUGUGUUGGACCUUGGGUUUAAGGUAGAUAGUUGUUGAUUUUAGUUACGCGUUUAAUCUAAUUAAACCGUUAUUUUCUAUUGGGCGUUGGACCCAACUAUUCCAAUUUGCAUACAUAUAAACAAAAAGGAAUACAUGAAAUAAUAAGAAGGGCUUAUGCCCUUUUACAACACAAAUGAUGGACUUAUGUCCAUUUACAACAAAUUUGAACUAAUCAAAUUACAUUCAAUUCUACACUACUAAACCCAAACAUUCAUAAUGUAAAGCGGCCAAUCACAUAGCUCAAUUAUCGAGGCCUUUGGUUCAUAAUCACCCUUUUCUUAAUCAAUCACAUUAACUAAGAAAGCAACUUAAACAAUUGGUUUUCGGAUUCAUAGAAUUGAUUUAAACGGAACUAAAUAAAAUGAAAAUCUAAUUCUCAUUUAAAGCGACAAAACCAUUUUGUUCUUAUUUAAUUUGGGCCAAAACCAAUGACCACAACAUUUGGGCCAUUUGGCAAAAACAGAAAAAAAACUUUUGGGGUCACUUUGUAAAAACACAAAAGUCCACAACUUUAUGUAAUUACAACUAGAACCCAAAAUUUUCAACAAUUCCUAAAACUUCAUUAAAGAAACAAAACAAUUUGUCCUUUAGUGAUUUUGGACCUUUACGCAAAAAUACGUAAACUUUUGGGCCAAAAUGCAAAAACACAAAAGUAUCAAAACUUUAUGUAAUUGCACAAAAGGCCCAAAAUUACCCUAUUUUAAAGGUUGGCUGGCCAUGAGAGAACAAGUGAAAAAAUUUUCUAAAAAGUUUUUGUAAGUUGAUUUGGUAGGUGAGAUAAAGGUGAUUUAGAUGGUUUGUAAGAAAAUGUUUUGUAAAACAUUAAAGGCAUUAAACAUGUUUCACCAAUAAACAUCACCCAUCAAUUAUAUACCAAAACUUUAUGAAAAAACAUAAAACUUUUGAAUCAAAACUUCAAAACUUUUUGUUCUUGGCAAGAACUUCAAGAACAUUGAAGAACACUCAGGAAAACUCAUAAUAGCUCCAUGAAUGUUUUCACUCACCAAAACUCAAAUUUUCACUACUCAAAAGAGGGUUAAUAUCCUAGGGUACUUAGGGGUUCCAAAAGUCACUUUAAAACCAUUUUAACAAGACAAACAUGAACCCAAAAAACCACCCUUUGGAUUUGGCCGAAUUUCCCAACAUACAUGGCACCAAAUUUUAGUUCCAAUAUUCAUGCUUUAAUGAAUUACAUCUACAACAUUUGAGAUGCUAAAUUUUCAACCAAAAUUUAUAUUCAAAAGCAAGAACAAAGCUUGUAACAUUUACAACAUUUAAAUCACAAAUCAUGAAAAUCACAAAACCCAAAAGGAUUCACCAUAAACUAGGCCUAGGCUUUGAUACCACUUGAAGGAAAAAUUUUGUCCUAGCUAAGAACAUGUGAGAAUAUUUGAAUACAUAUGCAAACUAUUAACACAAUAAAGUAGGCAUACAUUAAAAAACAAUUCAUAAAACCGAUGACUUUCAAAGCCUAGUAUAUGGUGAACCAAUAAACUCUUUGACAACAAUAAAGAGAAGGAAAGAUUUAGAGUUUCUUUACCCUUGAAGCUCAUCCUUGAUUACACAAGGGAUUCACCCAAGUGGAGGGCCUUCAAGUCACCUCCUUGCUCCUUGGAUCUUCCUUGUGGUUUUCCCCCUUUUGUGCUCCUUUGCUUCUUUGAGGAUUUGAGGAUUUGUUCUCCAAAACAUCAAAAGUUUGAUGUCUCUAAGUCUCUUCACCAAGAAUGUGAUGUGAAGAUGAAAUGGAUGACUUAGGGAAGAAGAGAUUGCUAGCUAUUCCUUCCCUAGGUGGCUGGCCUCUUUAGAGAAAAUGAGAGAAAAUUGUUUCACCUCAUUUCACCAAGAAAAACCCUAAAUGAAAAUAAAGCUAUAAAGUUGAAUAUACUUCAUCACAUGUGAGUGGCAAACUUGUAAUUAAUCCAAGUUUGACACUUCUCACCCUAAUGCCCGGCCAUAUCAAAUUGAUUGGGCUAAUUGCCCAUUUUGUUUUAGUUGUCAUACAACUUAAACAUAAUGGGCCUUGUGGACCAAAACGCUUUUGGGCCCCGAAACCCAAAACCAACAUAUAAGCCCAAUACGAACAUUUCGUAUAAUUAAUUAACUAAUUAAUUAACCUUGACCAUUCUUCAAUUAAACCAUUUAAUUGUUUAUCCAUUUCAUUUAAUUUCUUCACCAACAUCCUUACUCGGUGUACGAUCCAUUAGGUUCCAUUUAGCGAGGUAGUGGGCGAUUGUUACUCUUAACGAUCGAUUGUGAAUUGAAACCACAUUCAAUUCUCCCUUAAAAUUAGUGUUUGCUAAUCUUUAGGGCUUCCACAAAUCAUGAGUGACACCUAGCAGCAUAUCAUGGUUACCCAAGCUAAGAAGAAGUGGUUGGAGAACCUAUCCAGUUACAACCACAAUGCAAUACGGUCCUUCUCUAAUACAAUACUCUUAAUCACAUUGUUUCAGGUGAUAGUUUGUUUCAUGUCUACUAUCCAAUGUGAUACUUAUCUAUAUGAUUCAAUUGAAUAUGAUUUGGAACAAACUUCCUAAGUCAUAUUCAUAUGCUUUGGCUGUUGGAAGUAUGCCCACAAAGCCACUCAUUUGAUGUAAUAGCUUUUGGAAUACUUAUUGUAUUAAACGUUUAUAUGUUUAAUGAAGGGCAAAGCUUAUUGUUAAUCACUAUUUAUUGUAUCAUGUGUUUAAGCAAUAAGGGAAUCCAAGGAAUGUAUUUGAUCUAAGAGAUAAGUGAUCUAAGUGAGUUAGAUUAUCGAGACCUUUCUCUUAUAUUCAUUCCUAAAACGUUCCUAGCCAUAGGAUUGCCAAUUGGGCAUUGACAAUCCGUUAAGGUUAGUAUGUGUUAUGUUGACUCAAGCGUGAGUAUGACUAGUCUCAAGUCAUUUAGUGUUGGACACUAAGACAAACACAUAAGUGCUCGAAAGAGUAAUCGAGUACACUGAACAACGAUCAAAAGAGAGUUCGAACAUACAUGUCAUGUAAGAACUCGAAAGUUGCAAUAUGCAAAGUAGUCCUUUGACCUGAGGCAUCAUAGAUGUCUAAUGGUUAGGCCCUUGAUCUUUGAUCAUGUCAACGGCAUUCCAUCGGAGUGUUCACGGCAUUGUUGGGGUCAAGCUAUCUAGUCAUGUAGGCAUAUGAAUGCACAACAAGGGAUCUCUAGCCUUCCAUGGUGGAAGGAGAAUACUCUAAGAUAUGAUUCGUAAGUCUUUGGCCAAAGCAAAUGAAUAUGACUUAGGAAGUUUGUUCGAAUUCAUAUUCAAAGGAAUCAUAUAGAAAAGUAUCACAUUGGAUAGUAGACAUGAAACAAACUAUCACUUAAACAAUGUGAUUAAGAGUAUUGUAUUAGAGAAUGACCGUAUUGCAUUGUAGUUGUAACUGGAUAGGUUCUCCAACCAAUUCUACUUAGCUUGGGUAACCAUGACAUACUGCUAGGUGUCACUCAUGGUUUGUGGAAGCCCUAAUGACUAGCAAACACUAAUCAUAAAGGGAGAAUUGAAAUGUGGUUUCAAUUCACAAUCGAUCGUUAAGAGUAACAACCGCCCACUACCUCGCUAAUUGGAACCUAAUGGAUCGUACACCGAGUAAGGGCGAUAGUGAAGAAAUUAAAUGAAAUGGAUAUGCAAUUAAAUGGUUUAAUUGAAGAAUGGUCAAGAUUAAUUAAUUAGUUAAUUAAUUAUACGAAAGGUUCGUAUUGGGCUUUUAAGUUGGUUUUGGGUUUCGGGGCCCAAAAGUGUUUUGGUCCAUAAGGCCCAUUAUGUUUAAGUUGUAUGACAACUAAAACAAAAUGGGCAAUAAGCCCAAUCACAACAUAUAGGCCGGCCAUGGUGAGGAGAUGGUGAAAGUUUUGCUUAAUUGCAAGUUUGCCACUCACCAAAGAAAAGUGUUAUAAAAGCAACUUUAUAGCUAUUUUCUCAUGAGGGUUUUCUUUGAGGCAAAGAGGUGAAACAUUUUCUCUCUUUCUCUCUACAAAGAGGCCGGCCACUUAGGGAGAUUAAUCUAGCAAUCUCUUCUUCCCUAAGUCAUCCAUUUCAUCUUCACACUUAACCCUUGGUGUGGAGACUUAGAGACACCAAACUUUUGGUGUUUUGGAGAUCCUUUCUUUACAUCCACAAAGUCCAAAGGAGCACAAAAGGAGAAGGAAAUCACAAGCAAUAUCCAAGGAGCUAGGAGGUGACUUGAAGGCCCUCCACUUGGGUGAAUCCCUUGUGUAAACAAGGAUGAGCUUCAAGGGUAAAGAAACUCUAAAUCUUUACUUCUCUUUAAUGUUGUUAAAGAGUUUAUUGGUUCACCAUCUACUAGGCUUUGAAAGUCAUGGGUUUUAUGAAUUGUUUUUGAAUGCAUGCCUACUUUAAAGUGUUAAUAGUUUGCAUAUGUAUUCAAAUGUUCUUACUUGUUCUUAGCUAGGACAAAAUUUUUCCUUCAUUGGCCAAUGACUCUUGAAUCAUAUCUUAGAGUAUUCUCCUUCCACCAUGGAAGGUUAGAGAUUCCUUGUUGUGCAUUCAUAUGCCUAAAUGACUAGGUAGCUUGACCACAACAAUGCUGUGGACACUCCAAUAGAAUGCCUUUGACAUGAUCAAAGAUCAAGGACCUAACCAUUAGACAUCUAUGAUGCCUCAGGUCAAAGCACUACUUUGCAUAUUGCAACUUUCGAGUUCUUACAUGACAUGUAUGUUCGAACUCUCUUUUGAUCGUUGUUCAGUGUACUCGAUCACUCUUUCGAGCACCUAUGUGUUUGCCUUAGUGUCCAACACUAAAUGACAUGAAACUAGUCAUACUCACGUUUGAGUCGACAUAACACAUACUAACGUUAGCGGAUUGUCAAUGCCCAAUUGGCAAUCCAAUGGCUAGGAAUGUUUUAGGAAUGAACAUAAGAGAAAGGUCUCGAUAAUCUAACUUACUUAAAUCACUUAUCUCUUAGAUCAAAUACAUUCCUUGGAUUCCCUUAUUGCUUAAACACAUGAUACAAUAAAUAGUGAUUAACAAUAAGCUUUGCCCUUCAUUAAACAUAUAAAAGUUUAAUACAACAAGUAGCCACAAUGGCCUUUUUUAAGGCUUAGUUAGCUGAAGGAUUUUGGGUCUCUUGGCCUUAUCCGAGGGGAAUUGGGCCCCAGAGAUGGAAGGGGCACAUUAUGAAGUACGCUUUACAAAUAGCUACCCUGGAACCCUAAAGUUGCUACAGAGUGCACUAAGGUAGCCUACGGUUUCUGAAAGACUGCCUACGACUUGCCUUUUGAGCUGUAAAGCCAAGCUAGACUUAUACAACCGCAUAUUCUUGUGAGAGGUUAAACAAGCUAGCGUGCAUAUACAAAGCUUUAUCCACUGCCGACAUGCUACAUAAUCGAUAAGCUUCACCCCUGCCAAGCGCGGAACAACCUACACCAAGUCUUAAAGUGUUGUGAUACUUGCUACGCAACCUACAAAAUUGGAGAAAGCCAUGGUUAACAACCUAGUGGUUUCACGGACUUGUCUGCUUCUAUAAGUAAGGCAUCCGGCUGCUAACCCUAUGGCUAACAUUUUUGCAAAGUUCUACACCAACACCUAUGGUUUCAUAGGCUACGUAGGCCUGUCUUCUUAUAGAAAAGUAGCAUGCCUACCACUGGCCUAUAAAAUCUAAAGGCUAGGGCAUGAACAAAAGAAGCGAAGAUGGAGAAAAGCGAAGGAAAAAAGUUUAUUAAAUUUUCUAGCAAAAUUGAUAAGUGACUAGCAAAAGACCGAAUGAGCUUAAGCAAAGCAAAAGCGACAAGGAACACAAAGAAAAUCCUAAAAACUACCUAGAAUAGUACUCUUUGGCAACUUGGACGCUUCACGACUACUUGGUCAAAACCUUCAAUAGCCAUGACAUUCUCAGCAGCGGCACCAUCCGACGCUUCACCCUUGGCUGUUCUAACAUAGGCAUCAAUCUCUCCGACUACUUCACCAAGAGAAGCCUUAAAAGUAAAGGCAAGCAAGCAUUCCAGAGAAAUAAAGAAAUAAGCGUCCAUGUCUUCAUGCAGAUCUGGUUUCAAAAGCGCACAGAUCUCAGCAUCCUCCCCAGAAGCAAGCUUAGUGGAUUUCUCACAGUUGCCCAUGGGAGUCGUCUCAUCUUUCCCAGCAGGUGAGACAAUCUCAGCAGUAGAAGGAGAGGGCCUUAGCGUCACUUUAGUAGUAGAGUCCACCUUAAAUCUCUUCAUAAUAGCAAGCCUCUCCAAAGGUGAACUAGCCUUAGCUCCCAAUGGACAUCUUGGUACAAACUUCAGCAUUGGGGCAUGACAUAACCUUUACACUGAGCAAUCUUAUCAGCAAUUGCACUAGCCAUUCUCCACAUGGCAGGUGCCACAUGCUUAGAUCUAGAAGCCUCAUUUUUCUUCCCAUUAGAAAAAGUCAUGUCAAUCAUAGGCCUCUCGGCAACAGGCGAACCCUCACGAGCAGUGGAGCAAGUCUUCAGUUUUUUCUCAACCGGUAUCUCUUGAGCAAGCAGGGAAGAUCUUUUCUUUCCACCUUCAUUCAUAGUAGGCUCCACGACAUUGAUCAAACAAGCCAAUGCAUCCACCUUGAUCCUCUUUACCUCAUCUUUUGGGAGUAGGCCACCUUUUUCCCAGCGAAGAGAACUAAGUAGCCAGUACUCAGCAGGGGAGCUUAACCCAUGAUGGUUUUUCCUUCAGUUUUUCUCUCGAACCAGCAGGCAGGAGGCAUGCAUGCCCAGCAUUCUAGCAGCCCAUGAGGCCCACGACCUUCUCAUUUUUCUCAAUCGCCGUCCUGGCCCGUGUCAGGUCCAAGAGCCCAAAGGAUAUGAUCCAUGUGGCUCGCCUAGCACUGCACCCAGCCACACAAGCUGCCAUUGGCUCUAGCCAAGCCAUGCAGCCCAAAUAGUGGUCCCUGCCACACACCUCUUCGGCCCAUGUCGAGCAAACUCGUGGCCUCUGCCAGCCGAAGAGUCGCACCACCCUGACAACUACCCUGUUACAACACUAUCUAAGAAGAAGAUGAGAAAAAUUAAAUUUUUCUUACCUCGGUGCGGCGCGGAAAAGAUGAAGCAAGCAAUGAAAGACGAUCAUUUGCAUGGGCAAGAUGUAGAAGAUUGCUAAAGGAGGGGGAACAAAUAUCCUCUAAGCUUUCUUUUUCUUGUAUGGUAGAAUAAAUUGCUCUCCAAAGUCGAUUUCAUAAUCCACUUAAGGUAGACUUAAAUAGGCUUUGAGAGAAAUUUAUUUCCCUUUCCUAGAAGGAUCUAAUUUUCAAUUAAAGAGGGAAUCGACAUCAAAAUAAGAAACAAUCCAAAGUUUCCAAAAGCAAGAAAAUCUCUACACCUGUUGCCCUUUUCUGCGAGCAGCCUAAUAGGUGUGGGGGCAUUUGUGGAGCCAAAAAUAAUCAAGAGGCGACAUGUGGAUUUUUAGGUGUAAAGGACGAAAUUACCCUCGAGGCACACUAGUAUUCCUAUGUGCGAGCAGUGGACAAUCAUCCUUCAGUCAAGUCAAAAGUGCCCAAAUAGGUAUUUAUUUAUAACCUAUUUCAUCCAGCCCUCGUCAUAUCUUCUUCACAAGGUAACCCCCAAAACAUUCCUUUUAAAUUAUGUUAAUUAGCUAAUUAAUGGAUUUAUUACCUAAUUAACCUAUUAAUGGCUAAUUAAACUACCAAUUACAACCAAAAAACAUACAAGAGGCCGGUCACCUUCUCUCCCAAGGGGGCCAGCCAUGCCUUAUAUAUUCUACCUCAUUUUCUCUAAAAACCUAAGUUUUCACUCUUGCCAAGGUGUUAUUGAAGGAAGAUUUUGUGAAAACAUGUUCAUUUAAGCAACAUCAAUAAGCAUGCAAUUAACAAUUAAAGGCGGAAUCAUGCUAGCAUGCACUUAAAAACAAAACAUUAACCAUGAAAUUCAAAGCCUAGUAGAUUGGUGAACCAUUAAUCAACUCAAAACAAAGUGAGUUGAAAUAUAUACCUUUGUAGAUUCCUCUUUGUAUUUAAACAAAGGCUAAUCACCCAAGAGAUAGGGCCUUCAUUCCUUGCAUCUAAGAUCCAUGGAUUUGGAUGGAUCUACACCAAGGAGAGCAUGGAUGAUAAAUGAGUGACCAUGGAAGAAUAGAUGGCUAGCUACAACUUCCAUGGUGGCCGGCUUUUCUAGAGAGAAAUGGAGAGACAAUUCUCACCAAUUUUCCCCAAAAACAAACCCUUAAUGAAUUAAAAGGCUAUAAAGUCAUAUUUAUACCUUUAUUCAUUUGAGUGGCAAACUUGUAAUUAAAGCAAGUUCACUACCCUUUCUCUAUAUGGCCGGCCAUGGGGGGUUGUUUGGGCUUUUUGGGUCUUAGUGAAUCAAUAUUCAUUAAGUUGUCAUACAACUUAAGUCAAUGGGCUUGACGUUCGAAGCCCAUUGGGCCUUAAGGUCCAAAACCUAUCCCGAGGUCUUUAACGAACUUAUUCGUUUGAUUAAUUAACAUAUUAAUUAAUCCUUGCCAUAAAUAAUUAAACUAUUCAAUUGUUCUUACUCAUUUAGUUUGUUUCAUCCAUCUCCACCUUAUACGGUGUACGAUCCAUUAGGUUCCUUUUAGCGAGGCAGUGGGCGAUCAAAACUCUUUCAAAUCGAUUAUGAAUUGAAACUUACUUUCAAUUCUCCCUUUAGUGAUAAUACACUUUUAGGGCUUCCACAAACCAUGAGUGACACCUAGCCGUAUGUCAUGGUUACCCAAGCUAAUCAGAAGAGGUUAAGAACCUAUUCAGUUUAGGAUUACAAAUGCAAUACGGUCCUUCUCUAAUACAAUACUCUUGACCACAUUGUUUGGUUUGAUAGUUUAUUCAUGUCUACUAUCCAAUGUGAAUCGUGUUCUUAUAUGAUUUCCUUGAAUGUGAUUUAGAACGACUUUUCUAAAUCUCAAUCAUACUCUGGCCAGAGAUUCUAAAUCAUAUCAUAGAGUAUUCUCCCUCAAACGGUUUGAAGGUUAGAGAUCCCUUGUUGCGCAUUCACUUGCCUCCAUGACUAAGUGGCUUAACCCCAACGAUGCCGUGGACACCCCGAUGGGGUGACAUUGACAUAAUCAAAGAUCAAGGACUUAACCACAAGACAACUGUGAUGCCUCAGGUCAAAGGACUAAUUUGCAUUAUCCCAAACAUGAGUUCUCAUGUGACAUGAGUAUGAGAACUCUUCGUUGAUCGUGUUCAGUGAACUCAUUCUCUACUGAGCACCUACGUACUUGUCUUGAUGUCACACACACCAAUGACUCGAGACUAGUCACUCUCCCUGAGAGAAGACAUAGCACGUACCGAUCUUGACGGACUGUCAAUGCCCAAUUGGCAAUCCUAUGAUCAGGAACAUUUAGGAUGUGUCUACGAAAGAAUGGUCUCAUGAAUCUAACUUCAUUAGAUUACAUUCUUCCCCAAUCACAUAUUCCUUGGACUUUAUCGUUUAAGCAUAUAACAUUUAUAUGAGACGGCUCAAACAAUAAUCUUUGCCCUUUAUAUUAAACUAGAUUAGUUUAACAUGUGAAAUGUCCGUAAAGUAUCAUCACAUGAUUGGUUUCAGGGCACAUUUCCAACAAUCUCCCACUUGCACUAGAGCCAAUCAACUUAGUCAUCAGUGAUGAUACCUCUUUUGUAGUCAUUUCAUAAAUGGCUGAAUAGUAGGCCUAGGCAAUGGAUAUCUAUAUGUUAUCCAUAGAAGCAACCUUGAGAAUAACGACGUCACCAUUAUACAUGAUUCUUAAUCAUGUGGUUCAGUCUCUCAUAUGAGUUCGGAUCUUGAUGAGACCUUGAUUCCCUGGCUUGAGCUAUCGCCCCAUUAGUGUCAUAGUGUCGAUACACUAGAUACACUUUCUGGUUGGAACCGAAUAGAGAGUUCAUAAAUGAACUUUCCCAUCCAAACAACAUUGUUGCAAACUUCUAUAUGGCAAUAUAUCUUGCAUUCAUAAUGGAACACACUAAAGUCAUUACUUUAAUGUUUCCAUCCAAAUAUCUCUUUAGUCAUAAUAAAGAGAUAUAUGUUUAUCUCUUCAUUCAUAAUGAAGAAACAUCCAAUGAUGGAUUAGAUUCAUAAUCUAAUACAUUUACGCUUCCUUUACGUUACUCUAAUUCUUCCUCGAUCUUUGAGGAAUUUAUCCCAUAGUAUUUCUUAAAUACUUAAGGACUCACUUGACAGUUGCCAUGGUUCUGAUCCUGGGCUUGCACUGAUAUCGUCUUGUACCUUUCUAGGUACAACUCAUAUCAAUGUUUUUCAUACAAUAUGAAAUACAUAAAUCACCUUUAUGCGUAUGCAUAAAGGAUUCUUAUUUACGCAUUAUUUCUUUGGGAGUCAAAGGGUACGUUCCCUUUGAGAAGAGCUACCUCCUAGUCUCACUAGAGUUGUUCUUCUGAUUAAAGUUUAUCAUCAUAUGAGAAACUUCCUAGCAUCUUUUGUCUAUUAUUAGGGAUUGAUAUAAUCCAAAUUAUAUCCUAAAAUCUAUCAAUAUAGAUUUCCAUCCCAUGUAUAUAGACUAUGUCUCCCAUAUACAUUCUAUCUUUAUAGAAUGUUUAAAGUCAUAACUUUAACGAAGUUUUAAAGUAACUUUAACGAAGAAGUAUUCAUUUCAUUUCCAAAAUUAAUAAAUCAUAUAUACAUUCAUAUAUAUCACAUAUAUAUUUAUAUAUAUAUAUAUAUAUACAUACAAAUUUAGGAAUAUGACUAACUCCCACUAAUCUUUUGUAAACCUAGUAAACAAAAGAUUCAUUUACAUCUUUAUGAGAAAGCAAACGAUUUGACCUUUCUCUCAUAAGACGCUUAUAGCUCCCACUAGCUUGCUAAGAUCCAUGAUGGAUGGAUCUCUACAACUUACAUGUCUUGUGAUUCAUAGUUUUAGACAUAUAUUAUCAAGACUAUCUUAAUAAUGGUUUCGGAAACCUAUAUUAUGUCCAAACAUUGAAUCACCAUUUAAUUGUAGCUAGCAAUCUUCGAAUUAAUUGAAAAACUAAGACUACGUCAAAAAUGGUUUCCUUCAAAGUCAACCAUUCUAUUUGAUUGUAGUCACCUUAAGCUACCAAUUAGCUUAUGAAGGUUUCAUUAUUUCGGGUUAAAUGGUACUUUACCAUUUCCUUGAGUAUAUAUCGUAUAUGCACUCAAUGUAGUCAUAAGGAUUUUCAUUCUUAUUUCUUUCGAAUUAAGAGGUGCAACUCUAUGACAUAGUCAUAAAGUUCAAACCAUUCAACUGAGACGGUUUAUAAAUCCUUCUCGACUACCUUGGAGCUUGUGGUAUAGGAAUUAGGUUGUUUAUAUUUGUUGAUUACUUUCUUGUCUCUCAAAGAACCCAUUCUUUGAGUUCUAUCUCUCGUUUAUUUGCUUUUAGGCAAAUCACAUUGUAUGAUUACAAUGAACUACCCAACAAAACAACAUUUGUUAGUUGGUUUAUAGAAGCGAUAUCCAAAAGUUAAUUUAAGGAUAUCCUACAAGAUUGUUAUCAAACAAAUAUUGUGUAUUAACACACAACCCCAAAUCUUAACAUGCUUAAGAUUUGUCUUUCUUUCCAACUACAUCUUAUGGAGUCAUGAAAAAUUUGGAAGAUCUUCUAAUUGACAAUCAUAUUGUUUUUAGAAGUAUAUAUCCUAUAUAUAUGGGUAAUUGAUAAUAUCCAACGAACUAAAUCUUAUUCAAGUUCGUUCUUCUCCUAAUGGAGAAAUCCAUUAUCUUAUGAUGCUAUUUUCCUUGAUAUCUUUCAAGGAAACUCAUCUAAAGUGUUACUUUUCCUUGGAUCAAAUCUAAGGAGGUAAAUACUUUAGAUGUCUUACUCAUCAACUUACAUUUCUUGAAUUCUUUGAAACUUUUUUGCAAAGUAUUCGGACUUGUGUUUAUUCAAAAUAAACUAUAGUCCAACCGAGAGUGAUCUUCGGUGAAUGUCAUCCAACAUGAGUAGUAUUAUGUUGUGGAUAAGUGCCACUAACAUCUAAGUGAAUUAACCUCAACAACUUUGUGAUUCUUUCUUCUUUCCAAAAGAAUAAAGAUUCGAACAUUUCGCCUCUAUACAAUUUUAACAAGAAGGUAUUGGAUCCGGAUCUAACGAUCCAAAGCAUCCAUCUUUCACCAACUCAUAACUUAUGUUUUUAGAGGAAUCACAACUUAGUUGGGAUUAGUCACUACCUUGCAACCUUUUGGGUUUUAAGCAUCAUUAUGUUCUAAACAGUUAACACCACCAUAUUAUCUCUACUAUAGAGACAAUCAAUUAGAUUACUAUAAUCCAAUCAUUGAUUAAUAAAGAACAAUGUUUUGUCAAACAAAACAUUCAUCCAUCUCUACUAUAGUGACGGAAUUAAAUUCCUUAAAAUUGGAAUGUAAAGACAAUCUUUGUUUUUUUUCAAUUUCUUUGGUAGUUCAUAUGAGGAAGUAAGUACUAUCUGCUUUCGCAGAGAUCUAUAUUUUAUUCACGUUCCGAAUGUGAAGCACCUUUUCUUCUCUCAUAUAUCUUCUACUUCUUAUUAGUCACACUUUUACAACGAUUGUAAAACAUAGUUACUAAUACGGAAUCAAGCAUUCAAGUAGAAGAACCAACUGUUUUGAACUUUUCAAGAACAAUUUACAACACCUUCGAAAGGUGUGUUCUUGACACUUGCAAGACAUUUCUUGCAAAUACCCCUUCCAAUGUCCAUCCUUUCAUAAAGAAAGUUUGUUCCCUUGGAGUUAAUUUUAUCUUCUUCAUUUGACUUCUCCUUUGACUACAAUAGUCAUGGUCCCUAAACUCCCACUAUCUCUCUUGAAACUUAUUUCAAUUGUGUUAUACACAUCAAACAUUUUUGGAGAGCAUGUGGUUAUUGUUCACUACAUAGUUUACAAUAAACUUAGUGAACCAUUAGGAUAGGGACACAAAGGUGAAGUCCUUGCCUAGUUUCCGUCUCAUUAAGUGGUUUAUCACUUCAACACUUAAUGAUUCAAAAUCAUCAUAAGUCCAUGUUAAUGGACUAUUUUUGUCAACCAACCAUUAUGUUCUAAACAUAAUUACAAACUUUCAAGAGUUGUACAAGGCAACUCUCAUUUCUUCAUACAACAAUUUGUAAGUGAAGAAUCAUGGCACAUUAAGUGUCCAUGCCUUUGUGCUUUCUUCUUAAGUUCUUUGUUCAUUUAACAAAGAAACAAGCACUAAGUGUUUGCAUUGACUAAGGGUUGUUCAAAGCAACUCUUAUUUCUUCAUACAACAAUUUGUAAGUGAAGAACUAAUAACACUAAAAGUGUCCUUGUCAUUUAUGCUAAUCUUCGUAAGUUCCUUUGUUCAUAUAACGAAGGAAUAAGCAUUGGUUGUUUGUGUUGUUCUCUUCAUGAUAGACUUUUCUAACAUGUUCUUCCAAUGAUACAUUAUCAAUUAGGAAGAUUGUGAGGAUGAGACUACUUAGGUACAUAUACAAUCCUUUUAAGACAAUCUUUGGGAUUGUGGUACCAAGUCCGGAAACUAAAACAUUCGGUUUUUAUUUGUCAAGUGUUGGAUAGCGUUUGCAAAUAUAUUGGUAAACAAAUACAUAACGAAUAUAAAUUAGAUUGAUUUUAAGCCAUUUGAUUCGGGUCUUUAAAUCAAAAUAGCACCACCCACUAUUUUUGGCAAAUUCCAUAUCCCUCAUUGGAAUUCGAGAGUUUUGGAUGAAACUCUUAGUAGGGUAUGGGAGGCUCACUAUUACCAAGCCCACCUCACAAUGAUACGAUAUUGGCUAGCAAUAAUAAUAAUGAGAGAGUACGCUUACUCAUUUGCAACUCAUGCAAGUACCCAUCUUAUUUGGCCUCUAGAGAAUGUAACCUCACAAUGAUAUGAUAUUGGUUCCAUUGCACUUAGUUAAGUUCAUUCCCACCAUGCUUAGUGUGUGAAGGGGUUCAAGAAUAGCCUCACGAUGAUACGAUAUAUAGCUAUCCUCGUUGCCUACACUCACCUCAUCAUAUGUAUAUGGAUUCCUCCUGAGUAUAAGCAUGCACUUGUGUACUCCCCCAUGAUAGGGUGAAGCCGGUGUACAAGUCAUAAACGAUUGGAUCCCACCACGGUGGAAGGCCACGAAGAGAUAUGUUCAAAGCAUCUCUCGCUUAUCAACUUAAUAAUGGUUUGGUUGAGGGUUUUAGGUCUCAUCACAUAUAAACAUACAUUUUAAUCUCUAUUAAAAACUAUUUUGGUCCUAUUACAACUAUUGGUCCAUAUGAUUGUUUUUAGUUGUAUAUAAUACUCCCACUAUGCUUAUAAAACGGUUUUUAAAGCAAGAGUAUAUGAUACUACUAACAUAACCUUUGCAUUCAUUUGAUGGACUAUAUAGUUGCCUUAGGGCCUUAGGAUGACUAUGAACCUUUGUUUAGAUUCAACACGAGCCUUGUGUUGAAUCUCGGUCUAGGGAUGGUGAUUGAUUUUAGUUACGCGUUUAAUCACAUUAAGGCGUGUUGUCUUAGGGGCGUUGGACCCAACUACUUCAUUUUCAUGCAUAUCAAAUAAAAGCAAGAAAAGAAGUACUUCAAAGUAAAGGUGAGCUUAUGCUCAUUACAACAUUUGCAUAAAACAAAUUACUUUAAAGUAAAGAAGAGCUUAAGCCCUUUUACAACAUUUGAUCAAAUCAAAUUACAACCAAAAUCUAAUCUACACAUUCCCAUGGUUCAAACAAAUUUGAAACGGCCUAUUUCACAUAGCUCAAUUAUAUUAGGCUUAGGUUCAUAAUCACCCUUUAAUUAAUUAACACUUUAACUAAUUAAAUUGAAUGCAACAUUUUCAUUUGGUUUUUGUAUCCAUAAAAUUGAUUUAAAUGGAGCUAAAACAAAAUGAAAAUCCAAUUCUCAUUUAAAGAGACAAAACAAUUUUGUUCUCUACCUAAUUUGGGCCAAUAUGCAAUAACCACAACUUUUGGGCCAUAAAGCAAUUAACCUCAACUUUUGGGCUAUAUUGCAAAACUUUUGGGGUCACUUUGUAAAAGACACAAAAGUCCACUACUUCAUGUAAUUACAACUAGACCCAAAAAUUUAAUCAAUGCAAAAACUUCAUUAAAGGAGCAAAACAAUUUGUCCUUUAGCGUUUUUGGACCUAAACGUAAAAACGUAAACUUUUGGGCCAAAGUGCAAAUACACAAAAGUAUCAAAACUUUAUGUAAUUGCAUAAAAAGCCCCAAAAGUACUCCCACUUGAGGGAGGGCCGGUUUUAGAGAGGGAAAGGGAGUGGAGAUAAGUCCACUAAAAUUUGGAAAUUUUUUCAACAAUUUCAUAAAGCCUUGCAAGUGGUUUUUCGUUGGUGUAAAUCAUUAAACCAUGCAUGUGGUGUGUAAGGUGUGUAAGUCUUACACACCCAUCACAAUUUCUAUCACCUUUCAAAAAAAAUGUUUUGGUGAUAGAAAAUUCACAUCAACCAACACAAAACAAAGACUUUAUGAAAUUAACCAAAACUUUGAAUCAAAACACAAACCUUUUUGUUCUUGGCAAAAAUGUCAAGAACAAUGAAGAACACUCAUGAAAAAACUCAAAAUUUUCCAUGAACAUUUUUCACCCAAAAACAUUCCAAAACCAUUCAAACUUUAGGGAAAUAACAUCUAACCAAACUAGGGUACAUAGGGGUUCCAAAAGUCACCUUAAAACACUUUUAACAAGUCAAACAAGAACCCAAAAAUCCACCCUUUGGAUUUGGCCGAAUUUUCCCAAAGUCAUGGCACCAAAUUUUAGCUCCAAUAUUCAUGCUCAUAUGAACUACAUCUACAACAUUUGAGAUGGCAAAUUUUCUAACAAAAUUUACAUUCAAAGAAACAAGAAUAAAGCUUGUAACAUAUUACAACUUUUAAAUCACAAACUAUGAACUACAAAACCCAAAAGGAUUCACCAACUACUAGACCUAGGCUCUGAUACCACUUGAAGGGAUAUUUUGUGAAAACAUGUUCAUUUAAGCAACAUCAAUAAGCAUGCAAUUAACAAUUAAAGGCGGAAUCAUGCUAGCAUGCACUUAAAAACAAAACAUUAACCAUGAAAUUCAAAGCCUAGUAGAUUGGUGAACCAUUAAUCAACUCAAAACAAAGUGAGUUGAGAAAUAUAUACCUUUGUAGAUUCCUCUUUGUAUUUAAACAAAGGCUAAUCACCCAAGAGAUAGGGCCUUCAUUCCUUGCAUCUUAAGAUCCAUGGAUUUGGAUGGAUCUACACCAAGGAGAGCAUGGAUGAUAAAUGAGUGACCAUGGAAGAAUAGAUGGCUAGCUAACAACUUCCAUGGUGGCCGGCUUUUCUAGAGAGAAAUGGAGAGACAAUUCUCACCAAUUUUCCCCAAAACAAACCCUUAAUGAAUAAAAGGCUAUAAAGUCAUAUUUAUACCUUUAUUCAUUUGAGUGGCAAACUUGUAAUUAAAGCAAAGUUCACUACCCUUUCUCUAUAUGGCCGGCCAUGGGGGGUUGUUUGGGCUUUUGGGUCUUAGUGAAUCAAUAUUCAUUAAGUUGUCAUACAACUUAAGUCAAUGGGCUUGACGUUCGAAGCCCAUUGGGCCUUAAGGUCCAAAACCUAUCCCGAGGUCUUUAACGAACUUAUUCGUUUGAUUAAUUAACAUAUUAAUUAAUCCUUGCCAUAAAUAAUUAAACUAUUCAAUUGUUCUUACUCAUUUAGUUUGUUUCAUCCAUCUCCACCUUAUACGGUGUACGAUCCAUUAGGUUCCUUUUAGCGAGGCAGUGGGCGAUUCAAAACUCUUUCAAAUCGAUUAUGAAUUGAAACUUACUUUCAAUUCUCCCUUUAGUGAUAAUACACUUUUAGGGCUUCCACAAACCAUGAGUGACACCUAGCCGUAUGUCAUGGUUACCCAAGCUAAUCAGAAGAGGUUAAGAACCUAUUCAGUUUAGGAUUACAAAUGCAAUACGGUCCUUCUCUAAUACAAUACUCUUGACCACAUUGUUUGGUUUGAUAGUUUAUUCAUGUCUACUAUCCAAUGUGAAUCGUGUUCUUAUAUGAUUUCCUUGAAUGUGAUUUAGAACGACUUUUCUAAAUCUCAAUCAUACUCUGGCCAGAGAUUCUAAAUCAUAUCAUAGAGUAUUCUCCCUCAAACGGUUUGAAGGUUAGAGAUCCCUUGUUGCGCAUUCACUUGCCUCCAUGACUAAGUGGCUUAACCCCAACGAUGCCGUGGACACCCCGAUGGGGUGACAUUGACAUAAUCAAAGAUCAAGGACUUAACCACAAGACAACUGUGAUGCCUCAGGUCAAAGGACUAAUUUGCAUUAUCCCAAACAUGAGUUCUCAUGUGACAUGAGUAUGAGAACUCUUCGUUGAUCGUGUUCAGUGAACUCAUUCUCUACUGAGCACCUACGUACUUGUCUUGAUGUCACACACACCAAUGACUCGAGACUAGUCACUCUCCCUGAGAGAAGACAUAGCACGUACCGAUCUUGACGGACUGUCAAUGCCCAAUUGGCAAUCCUAUGAUCAGGAACAUUUAGGAUGUGUCUACGAAAGAAUGGUCUCAUGAAUCUAACUUCAUUAGAUUACAUUCUUCCAAUCACAUAUUCCUUGGACUUUAUCGUUUAAGCAUAUAACAUUUAUAUGAGACGGCUCAAACAAUAAUCUUUGCCCUUUAUAUUAAACUAGAUUAGUUUAACAUGUGAAAUGUCCGUAAAGUAUCAUCACAUGAUUGGUUUCAGGGCACAUUUCCAACAGUUAUUUGUUUUGUAGAUGCAAUUUUAUCUAAAAACAAGGAAGAAGAAAUUUGCAUCCAAAUAUGUGAUGCGCAAACCAAAAAACGUGGUUCUCAUCAUUCGACCUAGUUUCUAAGAUCACCAUGUUGGCACGUUGUCAAUUGCUUAUCUACUGGCUAUCAAGGACAUAAUUUAUAUUUGGCUAAUAUGUAGUAAAGUAGCAAUGGUCUUUUUAUAUACACUGAUAUAAUUAAUUAACUUGAUCAUUCUACUUAAAAUUAGUUGGUGAUACGUUAAAAGACUCAAGAUCUGACAUAGUUACAUGUCUUGGUGCAAGAAUUGACAAUAUGUGUUCCUUACCGAGAAUUUACACUGUAAAUAUUGCAAAUAUCAAAAUUUCAGUGAAAUAAAUGUUCGCCAACAAAUUAAAUUUUAAAUCGUAAGGAUUGUGUCGCAUACCAUAGACCCCACCAAAUUGCAUACCUGUCGAUUCAUUCACACUACAGUCAAAGACUACGGAUCACGUGAAACUUCUCGUGGUCCCGUUUUGUUCAAAAUCAAACAUCGACGGUCCUUGAUGAAACUUCUAGACCGAUUCAACGUCAAGUAUUCAUCACCCUUGGGACAGAAAUAUGAUAAACCGGUUAUACACAAGUCAUGCACACCAUGCACAAAACCGAAAUUACUAAAAUGCCCAAAUAUAAAUACUAAAAUUCCUCAGCUCAUUUGAUCAUCACUGUUCUCAUUUGCUGGAGAGGGAUGUUGAGAGCUUUGUGAGCUCUGGGUUUCUAGGUUGAGCUUAGCUCUCUGAGCUCCAAUUUCUAAGAAAGGGAAGUCGAGAGUGAAGCUUCCAAGUGAGAAUUUCUUGUUUGCAUCAGUGUUCCAUCCUUAAAGAUAUGAUUUUUGUACCAAAUUUUGCGUUUUGGCCGGAAAGUUCCAUUCUUUCCAGCUAGUGAAGCUUCGGUAGCCAUAAUUCCAAGCCAUCUGGUUCGUCUCUCUCUCUCUCUCUCAUCUCUUUCUCUCUCUAACUCAGUCAUUGUCUCCAUUCCAGCAACUAAUUACUUGUUUGUUCAAUUAGGUUUUUGGAUUUGUAGAGAUAGCAAGUCGAACAAAAUUAUUUAUUUAUGGUUUUUGGUAUUUUAGAUUAUGGGUUUUAAUCUUAGAGUUUUACGUUUUAAUUUUUGUUUAGGGUAUUGAAGAUUCAUGGAGCUGCGUUGGUGGAUUUGGCUUUGUGGGUUUGGUAUAGAAUGCUCAAUAUUUGUUAAUUUUGUUAUGAACUUGCAAAUUUUUGUGAAUUUGAUUUGGAAUGGGUGUUUGUUUGAAAAUGUUUGUCAAUUACAAGUCUUAGUUCAAUAUGAAAGAAAUUGUAUACGAUAUGCAUAUGAUAUGCACAUGACAUGCACAUUUGUCAUCUCCAUAUAAUUUGCCAUGUGCUUGUACAUUGUAAUCAGUAUAUACAAGGUGUUGGAUUCUGGGUUUCAAAAGGUCCUUCAGAUGAUGAGUUAAAACAAUAACAAUGGGCUUAGAAAGGAAAAAAAAAAAAAGAAAAAGAUGUAAAAACCUCUAAAUUUCAAACCUAUGUCUUGUUGAAACUAUGAAUGUAUAGUCCUCACCAUUACAAAAUAGUUAGAUAUGCCUAGACCAAUCCAUGCACAAUAUGAUGUAGGGGGUGUGAGAUUUGAUAACACACUAACCUCUAUGUUGGAAAUGAAAUAACAACAUUUGGAAGCAUCGUUCAAGUUGGGGGUCAAAAAAGUAAUGGUGGGGAUUUUUAUAACUUUUGAAGGUCACAUGCAUCAAAUCCUCACCACAUAAACACCUUCAACACAUUCCCUCUUUUACCCAACUGAUUUCAUCCUCAUCAUGGUAUACUUGUGUAUAAAUAUGCUUCUCACACAUAGUUACAAUAACCAUUAACUCUCCUAAAAAAAUUAGACUUCUUAGAUAGCCAAAACAAUUGAGAACACAAACAUGUUCAAGUUCCCACAUGAAACCAAGGGUUUUAGCACGAGUUCCAUAGGCGGUACAACAUGAAACCUUCUCUGUUUCCGGGGUCGCCGAAGGAAAAUCGUACGUCAUCAUUUAGCUCUAUGGACUCGGAGACAUCGCUGAUGAAGGAAAAAUUUUGUCCUAGCUAAGAACAUGUGAGAAUAUUUGAACAUAUAUGCAAACAAUUAACACAUUAAAGUAGGCAUGCAUUCAAAAACAAUUCUGAAACCCAUGACUUUCAAAGCCUAGUGAAUGGUGAACCACAAGACUCUUUAACAACAUUAAAGAUAAAGAAGGUUUUAGAGAUUCAUUACCCUUGAAGAUCAUCCUUGUUUACACAAGGGAUUCACCCAAGUGGAGGGCCUUCAAGUCACCACCUAGCUCCUUGGAUCUUCCUUGUGAUUUUCUUCCUUUUGAUGCUCCUUUGCUCCUUGAGGAUAUGAGGAAAGGAUCUCCAAAACACCAAAGAUUUGGUGUCUCUAAGUCUCCACACCAAGGAUGAGGUGUGAAGAUAAAAUGGAUGACUUAGAGAAGAAAAGAUUGCUAACUAUAUCUUCCCUAUGUGGCGGGCCUCCUUGUAGAGAAAAAGAGAGAAAAUGUUUCUCUUCUUUGUCUCAAGAAAACCCUAAUGAGAAAAAACUAUAACGAUGCUUUUAUAUCUCUUUUCUUAGGUGAGUGGCAAACUUGCAAUUAAGCAAAACUUCACACUCCCCUCACUAUGGCCGGCCUCUUUUAAGUGAUUGGGCUUAUUGCCCAUUUUGUUUGAGUUGUCAUACAACUUAAACAUAAUGGGCCUUGUGGACCAAAACACUUUUGGGCCCCUAAACCCAAAACCAACUUAAAAGCCCAAUACGAACCUUUCGUAAAAUUAAUUAACUAAUUAAUAAAUCUUGACCAUUCUCAAUUAAACCAUUUAAUCGCGUAUCCAUCUCAUUUAUAUUUCUUCACUUUCACCCUUACUCGGUGUACGAUCCAUUAGGUUCCAAUUAGUUAGGCAGUGGGCGAUUGUUACUCUUAACGAUCGAUUGCGAAUUGAAACUAUAUUUCAAUUCUCCCGUUGAUUAUGAUUAGUGUUUGCUAAUCUUCAGGGCUUCCACAAGCCAUGAGUGACACCUAGCAGAAUGUCAUGGUUACCCAAGCUAAAUAGAAUUGGUUGGAGAACCUAUCCAAUUACAAUUACAAUGCAAUUCGGUCCUUCUCUAAUACAAUACUCUUAAUCACAUUGUUUGAGUGAUAGUUUGUAUCAUGUCUACUAUCCAAUGUGAUACUUCUCUAUAUGAUUCCAUUGAAUAUGAUUUGGAACAUACUUCCUAAGUCAUAUUCGUAUGCUUUGGCCAACGACUCCGGAAUCAUAUCUUAAAGUAUUCUCCUUCCACCAUGGAAGGUUAGAGAUCCCUUGUUGUGCAUUCAUAUGCCUACAUAACUAGAUAGCUUGACCGCAACAAUGUCGUGGACACUCUCGAUGGAAUGCCUUUGACAUGAUCAAAGAUCAAGGACCUAACCAUUAGACAUCUAUGAUGCCUCAGGUCAAAGCACUACUUUGCAUAUUGCAACUAACGAGUUCUUACAUGACAUGUAUGUUCGAACUCUCUUUUGAUCGUUGUUCAGUGUACUCGAUUACCCUUUCAAGUACCUAUGUGUUUGUCUUAGUGUCCAACACUAAAUGACUUGAGACUAGUCAUACUCACGCUUGAGUUAACAAAACACAUACUAACCUUAACGGAUUGUCAAUGCCCAAUUGGCAAUCCUAUGGCUAGGAACGUUUUAGGAAUGAACAUAAGAGAAAGGUCUCUUUAAUCUAACUUACUUAAAUCACUUCUCUCUUAGAUCAAAUACAUUCCUUGGAUUCCCUUAUUGCUUAAACACAUGAUACAAUAAAUAGUGAUUAACAAUAAGCUUUGCCCUUCAUUAAACAUAUAAUAGUUUAAUACAAUAAGUAUUCCAAAAGCUAUUACAUCAAAUGAGUGGCUUUGUGGGCAUACUUCCAACAAUCUCCCACUUGCACUCAAAGCCACCUUCCCAUGUAUCUAAUACCCAUCUUUUCCAUAUGGUGGUCAAGUUGGAUUUGAGAUAUUGGCUUUGUCAGUGGAUCUGCUACGUUAUCGGCUGAGGCAACCUUGAGGAUGUUGACUUUCCCCUCGGAAGCAUAUCUUCUAAUAAUAUUAAAGCGCCUGUCAAAAUGAUUGUUCUUUUGAUGAGCCAUGGGUUCCUUGGCUUGAGCUAUCGCCCCACUAUUAUCACAGUACAAAGUUACUAGUGAUGUAAUGGUUGGAACCACUCCAAGUUUAGUAAUGAACUUAUUCAUCCAGAACGCUUCUUUGCCGGCUUCAGCUGCAUCAACAUAUUCAGCCUCUGUCAUGGAAUCAGCAAUUACAUCUUGUUUCUUGCUUUUCCAGCUGACAGCCCCACCAUUUAGAGUGAAUACAUAUCCGGAGUUGGAACUUCUAUCAUCGACGUCAGAUUGGAAAUCUACGUCUGUAUAUAUGCUUCCACUCGCAACUCUGUUGCUCCUCCAUAAACGAGGAACAUGUCCUUAAUUCUUCUUAAGUACUUAAGGACCGUCUUGACAGCUGCCUAGUGUUCUGAUCCUGGGUUAGAUUGAUAUCGACUAGUAAUGCUCACAGCAUAUGCGAUAUCAGGCUUUGUGCAUAUCAUGGCAUACAUGAGACUUCCUAUGGCGGAAGCAGAAGGAAUAGCACUCAUUUGCCGUAUCUCUUCAGGAGUUUUAGGUCCCAUGGACUUAGAGAAAAGUGAAUUCCAUGUCUUACAGGUAGAAGACCUUUCUUAGAUUGUUCCAUCUGGAACCUAUUUAGCACCUUAUCUAUGUACAUAGAUUGGGAUAAUCCAAUUAAUUUUUUAGAUCUAUCACGAUAGAGCUUUAUCCCAAGUACAUAAGAUGCAUCUCCCAAAUCUUUCAUGUAGAAGGUUUUGGACAACCACACUUUUACAGAAGAAAGUACUGCAGUGUCAUUCCCGAAGUAAUAUGUCAUCUACAUAAAACACUAAGAAUACAACUGCAUCCCCAACGACUUUUUGAUAAACACAAUUGUCGUCUUCAUUUUGAGUAAAACCAAAUGUUUUGAUUUCAGUAUCGAAACGAAUGUUCCAGCUCCUAGAGGCUUGCUUAAGUCCAUAAAUGGACCUCUGAAGCUUGCAUACCUUAGCCUUUUCAUACUUGGACACGAAACCUUCGGGUUGAGUCAUAUAGAGCUCUUCUUCUGGGUAGCCGUUCAGAAAGGCCGUUUUCACGUCCAUUUGCCAUAUCUCAUAAUCAUGGUACGCAACUAUAGCAAGCAAAAUACGAAUGGACUUAAUCAUGGCUACAUGAGAAAAGGUUUCUUUAUAGUUAAUCGUUUCUCGUUGCCUGUAACCCUUAGCUACUAGUCUAACUUUAUAAGUCUCCACGUUCCCAUCAGUGCCUAUUUUCCCCUUGAAACCCAUUUGUUUCCAACAGGUACUAUACCUUCUGGAGGGUCUACAAGAGUCCAGACCUGAUUUUGAUACAUGGAAUCCAUUUCAGAUUUCAUGGCCUCUUGCCAUCUCUUUGAGUCAAUGUCAGACAUUGCUUCAGUGUAGUCCCUAGGGUCCUCCUUUGUGUCAUUGUCACCUAGAAGGUGCAAUUCCCCAAAGUCAUUAUCUAAGCCAUACCUCUUAGGUGGCUUGCUAACCCUUUCAGAUCUACGUGGAGCUAGGGAUUCAGGAACAAGGUUGUCAACUUGUCGAGUGCUUGUUUGUGGUUCAUCAUUAAUCUCAUUAAUUUCCAUCGUUCUACUUAUAGUUCCUUUGAGAACAAAUUCGUCCUCUGGAAACUUGGCAGUUCUGGCGACAAAAACUUUUUGGUCGUCAAGAUGGUAGAACUCAUAUCCCAUAGUUUCUCUAGGAUAUCCCACAAAAUAGCACCUAAUUGAUCUCGCUUCAAGCUUAGUAGCUUCAAGCUUCUUGACAUAUGCUUCACAAGCCCAAUCUUAAUGUGAUUAAGACUUGGCUUUCUUCCAUGCCAUAUCUCAUAGGGCGUCUGUGAAACUAAGUUGGAAGGUACUCUAUUAAGCAAGUAAGCUGUUGUAUAUAGAGCGUAUCCCCAAAAUGUUACUGGUAGAUCUGCGAAACUCAUCAUAGAACGAACCAUGUUCAUCAAGGUUCGAUUUCUCCUUUCAGAAACUCCAUUAAGUUGUGGAGUUCCCGGUGGAGUCCACUGUGAUAUUAUUCCACACUCUUUGAGAUAAUCUUGGAACUUGGUACUUAGAUACUCCUCCCCUCGAUCUGAUCUUAGGAUCUUUAUCUGUUUCCCAGUUUGCUUCUCAACUUCAUUCUUGAAUUCUUUGACCUUUCAAAGGAUUCUGACUUGUACUUCAUAAGAUACACAUAGCUAAACCGAGAGUGAUCGUCGGUGAAUGUGAUAUAGUAGGAGAAGCCUCCUCUCGACGUAGUAGACAUAGGUCCACAUACGUCAGUGUGGAUUAACCCUAGAAUUUCAGUGGCAUGCUCUCCUUUCCCAGUGAAUGGAGAUUUGGUCAUCUUCCCUUCUAAGCAACAUUCACAAGUACCCAUUUGGUCAUUACCCAAUGGGCGGAAAUAUCUGUCUUUCAACAUCUUGCGAAUCUUAUCAAGGUUCACAUGUCCAAGUUUAAGAUGCCAUAUCUUUUCUUGGUUAACUUCUUCUCUAGCCCUUUUGGGUUUUGAGGUAUUCCCGCUUUCAAUACAGUGCAUCCCACUACUUGUCUCUAGGUGAAAAAAUCCCUCUAUCAUAUUACCAUGAGAGAUAAUACGACCGUUCAAGUAUAAAGUGCAACUCAUUUUGUCAAACAAUAUUGAGUGCUCAUCUCGUAAAAGCUUAG